rnacentral:lncRNA from 1 species
UUUUGUCCGAAUUCCAGAAGAUAGAACAAUUCCUAACUGAAGAAAAGGAUAAGUAUCUCUCAUAUGUGGAAACACAGGGAAGGGCCAAUUUGGAUGGCCUACAGAACAGAAUAAGUAGACUUUCCAACCAGAGUCAAGAAUUAAGGAAGAGAAUCACAGAGUUAGAGGAGGAGUACAAGAAACCAGAUUUGGAUUUGCUCCAGGAUAUGAAAGGAGUGUUAACCAGGAAUGAAUCUGUGCUACAGAAAAAAAAAAUAGAAAACUUCCAUAUAAACAUGAUGCGCCAUUCCAUCUCUGGACUUAUAGAAAGGAUUUUCAGUUUCAAA